AUUGGUGUGGGAGGGGACUGUAGAGAGGAGGGUGCCUAACCUCUGUUCUGCUCACCCCUUCUCACAG
rnacentral:miRNA from 1 species